AUACUUACCUGACAGGAGCGAUACCACGAUCACGAAGGUGGGUCACCCAGGGCGAGCCUCUGCCGUUGCACUUGGGUGGUGCUGACCCUUGAGAAUUCCCCAAAUGCGGGAAUCGCGACUGCAUAAUUUCUGGGAGUGGGGGACUGCGUUCGCGCUAAAAAUUUUCG
ensembl:snRNA U1 U1 spliceosomal RNA